UUGGAUUGGGUUUAUCGAAGGUGAUUUUAGAUCGACUUUAUAUACUUAAGUCGCGCAAACUUGUUUCUUCUAAAUUGUUAAUAUCUUCGACUGGGCGCGGCGUCUUAAGGUCUUAACAAUGUAAACAAUUGCUCUUGAAAACACGACUGUGCAAUUUAGGCCUAUCCAACUUGACAGGCUGACAAAAAGAAGCUCGAUGAUGAUACGGCGGUUCGAGGUAAUACGACGAUUCCAUUAUUGUGAUGACCUGAAGUCAAAACAUUGGGAUGAAGUAUGAAAAUCGUAUUACCGUCCGACGCGUUCAAUGACGUUACAAUACGCAUAGCUAUACAGCUGCGUCGUCAGAUUGUAGAAGGCGUAUCAAUAACUGUACCUCGACGUGUGGCUAUGGCGGAGCGACUCUUUGUCAGAGAAUAGAUCUCUUCAGAUCGGCGAAAAGAUUGGCAGGUGAUUUCCCACGCAACGAGGAACCACAAGAAUGUCGUGAGAACAAUGUGCAUUGGAAAAUGGCUUAAGACCAUGAAUUUAGAGCCCGCGGACGAUGUGAACAGCCAGAAAAGGCCACGCAGAGGAAAUAGCAGCGCUCGUUUCGGAGACGAUUGUCAGCCUAGCUGCGGCUACUCAUGCCAUUCUAAGCCGUAAAAGCAGUAAAAACGAGAGAUAGCCGCUGGAUAGAAAGAUCCACUCAUGCGUGCUAUACGUCGACCUACUGAUCAUGAAUGGAAACGAUGACAUCAACAGUAUAGGAUUGAAGAGGUGGCAAGACACAUGUAUCAUGGUCGGCGUCCCGUUCGCGAAUCUUCGACGCCUUCGAGGGCAUCAACAGUUACCGGCCAGCGAAGCAGAAACAAUGGUUCGAACAUGUGGUCGAGGCGACAAUGUUGCGACACAUCGAUUCGCUCGACAACGACAGCUCUUAAGACUACUACCACGAAUGAUGCUUAGACAUGUUGCAAAAGGGUGACCAAAAAUAGGCAACAGUCAGGACUGUGACGCCCGCUAUUGUCACUAGCCGCAGACCUAUAAGAACCGUCUCUCGUCGAACCAGACUUCAUUGUAGAAAAAUCUACAAUUCUUAGCUACUAGUUGUGAAAUAUAUCAAAGAUAUGGUUGCAGGUGAAAUAUAUCAAAUGUUAGGUUACAGACAUGACCUAAACUAUUGCUUCUUCACGUAACGAAGUUCGCUCACAAAAAGGCGUCUACCUAUUUUAAAAUCGCUCAAAUAUUUGGGGUCUAAUAUCAAUAUCGUUCAAUGAAGAUGGCAAAAAAAAAAUCAACGCUGCUGAAUUAACUCUAGCUUUGUAUCUCUACAUCUGAUGCUACUAGUUGAUCAGUGGCAAAAUGUCAGCUGAAUAGGAGUUGGACCGCCUACCUAGCUAAACAUUUCGGAGACUGCGUCGCCAUGACGACGCGCGCGCGUUUCAUGGCUUUCGCAUAAGUAAUCGUGUUUACGCAGACUGGGCCAGAAGUUGUUAGACUUCCCAGCUCAAGGAGGUCAAGAAAAAAUGCAUUGACUUGAUAUAAUGAGCAUAAACGGCUCUAACAUUUUUACGUUAAUAGAGUUCUAAUAAAAUACUCAGAACUCCCUACAGCGGAUUCGUUGUAACCAUUCUGAAAUUAUUCCGUAUGCGUUAAAAACUGAAUACAAUGGGUGAUUAGGCGGUCUCUAUUGAAACAAAUGAUUAACACGCAGUUUAUAGUCGUGAGGCUUAACGUUGUUGUUGUUGCGUAUUCAAUAGGCCUCCUUGGCCUGAGAUGCGAGCAAUGUACUAUGCAUAUAAUACACUUUAUCCAUAUGACUUCGUGUCAUGUUGAAAUCCUCUGGUAGAUGUCCUUGUUCAAGGUGAGUGA